AACGAACGCUGCGGCAUGCCUAACACAUGCAAGUCGAACGAGAUCUUCGGGUCUAGUGGCGCACGGGUGCGUAACGCGUGGGAAUCUGCCCUUUGGUUCGGAAUAACAGUUGGAAACGACUGCUAAUACCGGAUGAUGACGAAAGUCCAAAGAUUUAUCGCCAGAGGAUGAGCCCGCGUAGGAUCUGCUAGUUGGUGUGGUAAAGGCGCACCAAGGCGACGAUCCUUAGCUGGUCUGAGAGGAUGAUCAGCCACACUGGGACUGAGACACGGCUCAGACUCCUACGGGAGGCAGCAGUGGGGAAUAUUGGACAAUGGGCGAAAGCCUGAUCCAGCAAUGCCGCGUGAGUGAUGAAGGCCUUAGGGUUGUAAAGCUCUUUUACUCGGGAUGAUAAUGACAGUACCGGGAGAAUAAGCUCCGGCUAACUCCGUGCCAGCAGCCGCCGUAA
rnacentral:rRNA from 1 species